AGUGCAUCAAACUCAGUUCUCAUCAGAAAAGCGAUAAGAAACAACAUCAACCUCUUACCUCGUUAAGCCGGAGGAGAUGGGGUGCUGGGGUUUCGUUUCAAAAGACUCUUUCUCAAGCUAGUCUAAGAACUCAUAUUAGACUAGUACUCAAUCAAGCAAUUAACUCAGAGCAGACGACCUGCUCUGAUACCACUCUGUCGCAGCCCGUUUC
rnacentral:lncRNA from 1 species